UUGUAUGUAGGUAAGCGUAAGCAGACUCCUGCCCUUUUGUACUGUACACCAUGGCAAUGCUGAAGAAGGGCACGGGCGUCCUGUGUUUCGUGGCCACCGUCAUGGUGGUCAUGGCUACCACCCUUCUUCUCUCCUCCUGCGACGCCCACAAAGAGGAAGAUGAGACUGCUGCGUUUCCCUUGCCGGCGCCAUGCUACUCCAUCUCUUUCCCAAACUGUACCGACGACAAGUGCAAGAUGUUUUGCGACAGCGUAGGCAAGCGGCUGGCCCCCAAGGCAUUCUGCAAUGACAACAAUAACUGUUGAUGUCCUGUCAUUCAAGUAUAAGUGUCUGCUGAAGCAACUGAGCUAAGAAAUAAUUAAAUAAAACUAUAUUCGUAAUUGCUUUUGAUCUGGGAGCUUCCAGCAUGGACUGUUGCCCGGACUCAUCAAGAUGUUUGAAAUCAUUGUAAACCGACUUUUCGAUAAUUUGUUGUGUUCGGCAGCUUUUGUUUAUCCUGUGUGUAUCUCUAGUUCGUGUAUGUGGAGACCGAUUGAAAAUAAUUAAGUUUAAC